AUUGAACGCUGGCGGCAUGCCUUACACAUGCAAGUCGAACGGCAGCGGGGGAGAAGCUUGCUUUUCCUGCCGGCGAGUGGCGAACGGGUGAGUAAUACAUCGGAACGUGCCCUGUAGUGGGGGAUAACUAGUCGAAAGAUUAGCUAAUACCGCGUACGACCUGAGGGUGAAAGUGGGGGACCGCAAGGCCUCAUGCUAUAGGAGCGGCCGAUGUCUGAUUAGCUAGUUGGUGGGGUAAAGGCCUACCAAGGCGACGAUCAGUAGCUGGUCUGAGAGGAGGAUCAGCCACACUGGGACUGAGACACGGCCCAGACUCCUACGGGAGGCAGCAGUGGGGAAUUUUGGACAAUGGGCGAAAGCCUGAUUCAGCAAUGCCGCGUGUGUGAAGAAGGCCUCCGGGUUGUAAAGCACCUUUGUCCGGAAAGAAAUGGCUCUGGUUAAUACCUGGGGUCGAUGACGGUACCGGAAGAAUAAGGACCGGCUAACUACGUGCCAGCCGCCGCAGUAA
rnacentral:rRNA from 1 species